UGAUCAUUCAUUGCGAUUGUCUCCUGUGCCUCCAAGUGAGUUUUUUUUUAUGUCCAUUCCCACAUAGGAGUAGAAACAUUUUUGUAUGUUAAUGUGGUGAGCUCCAUUUCCAUCAGUUUUCCUGCAAAUGAUAGAAUUCCAUUCUACUUUGUGGAAGAUUAAAGUUCGUGUGUGUGUGUCCUUAUGUCUAUGGUCCCAAUACAUAAGUGAAACCUGCAUCACUCCAUCUCAUGUUAUUCUUCGAGUAUGUUUCAAGGAUGACCACUGGAUUUCAGAAAACCAGUUGUUGGGCUCUUCCGUGGAGAGAACUGUAUAUUCUGCUCCCAGAAUUCCUUAGUUGCCUGGACCUAUUCGUCUAGGGCUCAUGUUUCUGAUCUUUCUGCCUUGUAUGUUAGCAUGUCUACUGACACUGUCCUUGCUCAAGCCAUGUUUAGGCAACCA
rnacentral:lncRNA from 1 species